rnacentral:tRNA from 1 species
GCCAGGGUAGCUCAGCUGGUUAGAGCACAGCACUCAUAACGCUGGUGUCGCGGGUUCGAAUCCCGCCCCUGGCACCA